rnacentral:rRNA from 1 species
GACGACCGCUGGCGGCGUGCUUAACACAAGCAAGUCGAACGCAGUGGCGAACGGGUGAGUAACGCGCAAUCAACCUGCCCUUCAGAGGGGGACAACAGUUGGAAACGACUGCUAAUCCCGCAUACUGAAGGAGGGGACUGCGUCGGAUUGGCUAGUUGGAGGGGCAACAGCCCACCAAGGCGAUGAUCAGUAGCCGGUCCGAGAGGAUGAACGGCCACAUUGGGACUGAGACACGGCCCAGACUCCUACGGGAGGCAGCAGUGGGGAAUCAUCCGCAAUGGACGAAAGUCUGACGGGGCAACGCCGCGUGGGUGAGGACGGCCUUCGGGUUGUAAGGCUCUGUUAAUCGGGACGCGGUACCGGAAUAGAAAGCCACGGCUAACUACGUGCCAGCAGCCGCGGUAAUUC